rnacentral:ncRNA from 2 species
UAGGCCGUGCAGGGCUGACGGAAUAAUGUGGAAUUGACCACGUGUACUGCAGGGUUAAGAAGAGCCGACCGUCUGGGCAGAGAGA